ACACCAGCAGCAUGUGGUGACCAGGCCUCAGACUCUGCAUCUGUGACCUAAGACUGGAGGAUGUUUGCCUGGGCACCGUCAGGAGAACAGUAAACUGUAGUCAGCACUUAGCUGACUUGACCAGCAGCGCUGCACACUCUCUGUCCUUUUCUCUUUAAUCGGGUAGCAGGGGGUGGGGAGGAGAACAGGGCAGACAGUGUCAGUCUGGGCCCCAUUAGGCAGCCUCCGUGAAUUUACAUGGUGGGUUGAUCAUUAAUGAAACACCUGGCAUUUGGUUACUGCUCUAUAAACUUCCCGUGACUUCCGCCUUUGCGUUGUCCCCGAGAGACUCCUAGAAAUUCCACCCUGAGGCUGUGGGAGGUGGAGGAGAAAGUGAAUGUCCUCAGCAGCGGCCCAGUGCUGUGGAAGGAUUGCUGGGACCCGUUUCUCUGGUUCUGGAGAGCGUGUUGGGAUUACUGGGAAUACGGCUAAUAGAAUCCUCUAAUGGGGCUCCAUAUACCAGUCUCUGGGCAUGCUAACACCACUCACUGUUAAGAUGCCAACACGAUGGAAGGCACACACUUACUGAAGUGUGUGACACAGGAAUGAAUACCUGUGUUUUGCCCAGCAGCUGUAUGUGUAUGUGUGUGUGUGUGUGUGUGUGUGUGUGUGUGUUCACUAGCCAGCCCUAAGAGGGUAAAUCUCCUAGUGUACCCAUCAAGCCUCUUAAAUACCAGCACACGAUGGCCUCAGUACCUGGGUGGUUUCCGCAUUUGCUGUGGCUGUGAGGGGUUCCCCCAGAUCUACCUAGUUGGGAGAAAGAAGGAAUUUUCACUUCAGAUGAAGGAAGCAAAGCCUCAGAGGAAGGUGUCUGGGAGAUGUCUGGGAGAGUGAGCGCUGUUUGCAGUGGGACUGUCUCCAUCUGCCCCACAGGCUCCACUUCCACGCAGAUCAGAACUAGGAAAGGGCUGGAAGACAGAGGCAGGGGUGCAAUUAACCUGGAAGCAAGGAUUUGCAUCUAAUUUGCAUCUCUUUCUGCAAGCAGGAGCUGCCAUGAUGGAGCUUCCCUCAGACUCGAUUUGGUCAGAGUUCCUCAGAAACAUGAGCAUGGUUCUCUACCAGACUAUGUUUUGAUCUUCAAAGACCUCCUCGAGCGUUUAUUGUAUAAAGAAUUCAAACAGGAAAGCAAAUAAGCCGUUUCCCUCGAACACUGAAUCCACCAUCUAUGUUAGGCCUAGUGUUUGCCUUUUUGUUGUAGAUGCACAUAGAAGUUUCUACAACUUGUUUAAUUCUGUUAGAAUAGCUUGAAAAUAUGGACAUUUUAUGGCUCCACACACUGUGACACUUUACCCACAUUUAUAUAUAUUUCUCUUAAAAAUAGGAGUAUUUAUCACCUAAGUAUAUAAAAGACGGACAUUUUCCUAAAGCUGUCCAAUACCAAUAGCCAGCCUUCAUGCCCACUGUCACAGUUUUCCAGAGGUUUUCUUUUCUUUUCUUUCUUUCCCUCUUUUCCUCUUUCCUUUUUCUCAAAGGUUUUUCUACAGUGGCUCUGUUAGAAUCCAACACCCCAUGGCUUUCUCUCUCUCUCUCUCUCUCUCUCUCUCUCGUGUGUGUGUGUGUGUGUGUGUGUGUGUAUUAAGAGAAGUGCACUAGUUCAUCCAUGCCCACAUGGAGGCCAAAGGAAGACUUCAAUAAUUUCUUCUAUUAAGUCCCACAUUGGUUCCCUUUCUUUGCUUUUUUUUUUUUUUUUGACAGGAUCUUUCACUGAAACUGGAGCUUGCUGGUCUAGGCUAAAAUGGUUCUAACUCCUCUGUCUACUCUCCACACCCAAGCAGACACCAAGGUCAAAUGCCAUCACAUGCUGGGCUCCUCUGGACUAGGCCUGUCCACAUCUGCUGCGGUUCCUAUACUCUGAUCAAGACUGGCAUUUACACCAGCGGACUAUGUGCGAAGACUCUUCCCUACUACAAAGUGGAUGGGCUGUGACAAAUGGGGCAAGGUUAACUAGAACAGGCUCGCCUCCAUCAAGCUGGGACAGUAUGGCUGUCCUGCUCUAUAGACCAGGUGGGCCUCAAACUCAGAGACCCACCUGACUCUGCCUCCUGAGUGCUGGGAUUAAAGACGUGCACCGUUACACUCAGCAAGAAAUGAACUGUUGAAGCAUCAUCUACUUAGACUGGCUGUUUAUUCCGAGCUGUAACACCGGGAGAAAGAAGGGCUCCCCGUUUUCCUGAAGAAUUCAUCCCUGGACAGCUGGACUUGACUGCCGGCUGGGCACUUGCCAUAGAACCGGCAGAACUAUUGUGGUCACCACUAAAGCUCACCCGCACCUUGAGCUUCCGCUGUUCACUGGUGUGUUAGAGCCGAUCGCUGCUGCCGCCUUUCACCAAGCUCCGUCCACCGCGGUGCUCAUCUGCGGGAGCAGGUGGCCAAGAUGUUCUCGAAACAGCCAUUCUGUCCGCCUGAACCAACCUAGGCUCCUCAGGCUGCCUCUCUUGGUUUUGGAACCUCGACUUUCCACUGCCAUCUGGGACCAGCAAUCUCAUUAAAAGAGCUAAAUGUAACACUGCAGAAAAACUGUUUUCCGCAUCCCCGGUGAGACUGGGGUCCUGUGGCUCAGACUUCGUUCCUUCACCCAGCUGUUCCUGAGGGAAGCGGAACCUGGGACUCGGAUUCAUCUAUUCCUAUCUAGAGACGCUUGGACCUUCUGUCUGAGGAACGAACACUCCAGUUUGGUGCCUCUUCCCAGAAGGACCCAAAUUAAAGCAUCCCCGGAGCAGAAUCAGCACUGCAGAGAGAUCCCUGCCUGAGGGAUUUUCACUAUGGAGGCAAAACAGCAAAGAAAGGUGCCAGCUAGGCCUGCCAAGGGUCAGGGCUUUGGGACUUCAUGACCACUAUGACAUGUGACAAAGCAGCUCGUGGCCUGACUUUCUGUGUACCUCUGUCCUAAAGGAUUCUUUAUUUAUUCAUUUAUUUAUUUAUUUUAAACAAUUUACUUGUGGUUUUGUUUGUUUUCAAUCUGAGUGCUCUGUCUGCACGUAUACCUGCAGGUCAGAAGAGGGCAUCAGAUCUCUUUAUAGAUGGCCAUGAGCCACCAUGCAGUUGGAAUUGAACUCGGAACCUCUGGAAGAAAAGCCAGUGCUCUUAACUGCUGAGUCAUCUCUCCAGCACCAGGAUUCUGUUCAUCACACAGAUGGUCUCCAUGUCCCUAAAUUUUGUUUGUUUGUUUACUUAUUUAUUUUUUUGUUUUUUUUCAAGACACAUUUUCUCUGCAGCUUUUGAUGUCCUGGAACCGACUCUGUAGACCAGGCCUGCCCCUGCCGUUCAAGUGCUGGGAAUAAAGGUGUGUACCACCACACCCAUUUUUUUAAGAUUUAUUUUUAUUAUUUUGUGUGUCUGCGUUUGUACAUCAUUUGUAUGUUUGAUGUCCAAGGAGGUGGUGAGCCUCCAUGUGGGUGCUGGGAAUUGAACCUGUGUCUUUCACAACUGAGCCAACUCUUCAGGCCUCUGGAUUUUAAAUUUAUCUCCCUUUUUCUUUUAAUUAGGUAGCUAUAAUUGUGCACAUUGAUGGGGUUCUCCUGUUGUGAUGGCUAGGCUUUGUUUGUUUGCUUUUUUAGGAUAGGGUUUCUCUGUGUAGCCCUGGCUGUCCUGGAACUCCCUUUGUAUGGCAAGCUGGUCUCAAGAUCCACCUACCUCUGCCUCCCAAAUGCUGGACUAAGAUAUGUGCCACCACCUCCUGGCUGCUAGUCUGUUUUGUUUUAAAUCAACUGACACAAGCUAGAAGCAGCU